UCACGUGUCAUUGUUACACCUUGAUGACGUACUUUUACUUCGCGCUCUUCUCCUGCUACACGUGUUCAGAGUUUGAUUUCAAGGAGCAGAACCAGCAAAAGACGGGUGUGGGUGCAAAUGAAGUGCGUGAAGGACAAGUUGGCCUCAUCCCCACCCUGUAGUCCUGUCACACCUGCCAGAUCUGCUAUAUAAGGAGGUCUUGCUGUUGACGACAACAUACGUCUCAGUGUCAGCACCACCAUGAGACUGGCCGCCUUGCUGGUUCUGCUAUGCCUCUGCUCCAUGGCAAUGCCUUCGAAAUCUCAGGUUCCAGAUGACUCGGAGAGGCAAGAAUAUGAAUAUCCAGUUGAUAGAAACCCCCCUGAAAUGCAUCCAGAAAUGGCAACUGUGGGAACACCUGGAGGAGGAAUAGGAUCUGGAAAAUGAUUUUUCAGGACUUCAAUAAGUCGCCCAAAAGAACCCACCCAGACCAAUCAUUUCCAAAUAAGAAGUAUUAAAUGAAUGUCCUCUAAUGAAAAAUAAAGGCAAA